rnacentral:lncRNA from 1 species
UUCAUGUCCCUGUAUUCUUGAAAAAAAACAGUAGCUAAAUCGCUUAAAUCUUGCACCUAAUAAUAGGAAUAAAACAAAAAGAAAAGAAACAAAAUGUAAUAAGCUGUGAGCCAAUCACAAUGCUCGCUAGCGUCUCACCCGGGCCCACGUGAUCCCUUGCCGUCGCCAAUGGCGUCGUCGGCAGAAUGGCAACGUGCCCAUUCUUUGUUUCUGUUCUCGUGUGAAGCCGGUGUCCCACGACCAUUGUCGCGUUCCGUGCGCUGGCAGCUAGAGCAAGCGUUGCACUUCUCACUCUAGCUGCCGCCUGCCAGUACUUAACGAUGAUCGAGCCACACGCGCAGCUCCGCUCACC